GUUUUGCUUAAGGGUGCUAUAAACAGUUUCGUAUAAAAAACUAGGGGUUAUUCCCCAACUAAAAAUAGACAUGGAGGGAAGUCCCUUUUUAUCAACAUAAUUGGUGAAAAAGUAUCAUGUUUUUUGUAUUUGGUUGUAAAGAUAUGUUAAUUAACUUCAAUUAAAACAGGUUGAAUGAUUAAAAUAAUUUAAAAAAUUAGAUUAAAUAUUCAUGUUUUGAGGGGAGACAACACUGUAAACAGUCUGUUUUUUUGGCAGUGAAAAUUCAAAACUUAUUUGCAGCCACUGUAGCUCUUUUCGGAGCAGGCGAACGUAGCCUGAAGCAUGAAUUUUUUGAAAGACCAGGUAAAAAUCUAUGAAAUUCAUACAACUUUGAUUAUGAAAAAUGUGCAGGUAUCAUGUCUUCAGGGGUGUGCACAUGACCUGAUUUCAGGUUUUUUAAGCUUAAAUUAGGCAAUGUUUUUUCCCAGUUUCUCUGGAUAAAACUUUUUUAUACUAUUAAAAGUACACUUUUUUUUUAUUCCAUUAUAAACUAGAGAACAUUCUGAUUCCAGUGAUAUCUAGUUUUAUACAGGUAUCUUUAUUAAUCAGUCCACCACUAAGGGUCACUUAUACAUGGUCCCUCAAAAUAUGACGUCAUAGAAAAAAACUGUUGAUUGCACCCUAAAUCAUUGUUUGCCAAUGAGACAACUAUCCACCAGAAACCAAUGAUAUAUAUAUGUCAGCAGCAAUAAGUGAAUUUGACAUCAUAGAUCUAUAUAGUGCCAAUGAGACAACUCUCCAUCCAAAUAACAAUUUAUAAAAGUAAACCAUUAUAAGUCGAGGUACGGCCUUCAAGUUUCAACAUGGAACCUUGGCUCACACCGAACAGCAAACUAUAAAGGGCCCCAAAAAUUACUAGAGUAAAACCAUUCAAACGGGAAAACCAAUGGUCUAAUCUAUAUAAAAAUCGAGAAACAAGUAAAAAUUACAUAAACAAAGAACAACUACUGUAUAUCAGAUCCCUGA
rnacentral:lncRNA from 1 species